UUUUUUUUUUUUUGUUUUGUUUUGUUUUUUGUCUUUUUAGGGCUACACCCAUGGUAUAUGGAAGUUCCCAUACUAGGGGUCAAAUCAGAACUGUAGCUGCUGGCCUACACCAUAGUCACAGCAAUGAGGGAUCCGAGCUGUGCCUGCGACCUGCCCACAGCAACACCAAAUCCUUAACCCACUGAGCAAGGCCAGGGAUCAAACCUGCAUCCUCAUGGAUACUAGUCAGGUUUGCUACCGCUAAGCCAUGACGAGAACUCCCAUGUUAGGUUUUUAAGAUUUAAAUUUGUUAUAAGUUUAAGAUAUAAAAAAAUUCCCAUAGAAAUGCAAUUAUUAUCAAGGUGACAGAUGAAAAAAGACUCGAACUGCCUGGUAAGUAUUAAAUAAUUAUCAAGACAAAGUAAAAUUCCACCAACUCUCAUCCUUCUAUUUGGUCCUACUAAUUAAAAUACAUUAUAUGGUAAAUCUGUCCUCUCUUCAAUCUAUACAAAAUGUACUUUAAAAAUCUGGUAUGUGGGAGUUCCCCUCGUGGCGCAGUGGUUAACGAAUCCGACUAGGAACCAUGAGGUUGCGGGUUCGGUCCCUGCCCUUGCUCAGUGGGUUAACGAUCCGGCGUUGCUGUGAGCUGUGGUGUAGGUUGCAGACGCGGCUCGGAUCCCGCGUUGCUGUGGCUCUGGCGUAGGCCAGUGGCUGCGGCUCUGAUUCGACCCCUAGCCUGGGAACCUCCAUAUGCCACAGGAGCGGCCCAAAGAAAUAGCAAAAAGACCAAAAAAAAAAAAAAUCUGGUAUGUGAAACUGAUCAAGUAGAGCCUCCUCAAAGCUCUCUUCCACAGAAGAUGGUGAGACUUUGAGGUAUCAGCCUAUUUAUUGGGUGAUUGACCACAGGAAAAUACCAGAGUACCCUUCCUAGUCACCUAGAUGUCUACACAUCCAGUUAGUCACAACCGACGCAGAGUGAUACAGUAUCACAGUGCAAAAGAAAAAGUCUGCCCAAGUUUUCUAGUCAUGUGGGCAAUGUCACUAACCUUGGAAAUCUGGGGCCAUUUCUGACAUGACUGUUGACUUCCUCCUCUAAAGCACUACACAAAUCCAGUUGAGUCUCCUGUUAUCCUUCUCACUUUAUUCAAGUUUUUACCUAAAGUACUUCCAGGUACCUUUUAAAACAUCCUUUAGCCAAUUAUUUUGAAUAUGCAGACAAAAUUAUUUAUCCAGAUCCUUCACAUCAAAAUUAUUUAUCCAGAUCCUUUACGUCAAUUACUCUAAUCACAAUCCCCAUAAUAGCUACAUAUAAUGUCAUAUCAAGUGCAAACCUAACAUUUGUGAUAAUGGCCCUCUAGAUACUUGCCUUUCUAGGAAGAUAAAGAUCAACUUUUCCCUAUUCUUCCUCCUAACUACAACUAAAAUCUCUGGACAUUAUAUAUAAAACAAAUAUAAGAAAAUUCUUAAAGAUAGACAGAAGGCAGACUGGCUGGGACCUUGGGAUAUGAACAAACAAACAAAACCCCAGCACAGAAGUUCCCUGAGUUUUUCUUUUGCCUUAUACAUACCAGACCAGGUGCUGGAGUAAUGGGUAACCUAGAAAUGCUAAUGGAUGUAGUGGUGGAGGUGGAGAGCCCUAACAAAUCCAGUUGGCUCUCUCAGCCAAACGACAAAGAAAGGGGCAGCCUCCCACAACAGGUAUAAAGUAACUGCUCUACAUCACAGAAAACACUGUGCCCCACCUCCACCAUGCAGCAAAGGCCAAACCUCAUCCUGUCUAGGCUGUAAUGAGGUGCCUCAAAUCCUCUAAGAUGGUGUCAGAGGAAGUAGGGACUUACCUUCUUGUGGGCAGUGGAGACAAUAUGGACAGCCUGGAAUUACACCCCAUUCAUCAAUAAUGACGCAUCCUCUCUGUCCGCAGGGACAGUGUCCCAGGAGGCCUUGUGGGGCUGGGGCACCCAAGGCUACCUGAAGUAAUAAGGAGCCCAGCCCAUGGAGGGGACGGGGGAGGCUGAGUGGGAAGCCUGGACUUCUGCUCCCACCUGGUAGUAAGGACAAGGGGACACCUACACAUCCCUUGCCAGAGUGCCAUCAGGGAAAGCCAGCUAAAAGAAAAGGUUUAAAGAUCCAGAGGCUCAGAUGCCCCCCAAAAUCUAGAUGUCAAUAAAAUCACUCCUCACACCAAGAACCAGAAAGAACACCAACUGCAUGAAAAAAGAUGAUCAACAGAUGCUAACUCUGAGAAAAUGAGAUGUUAGAAUUAUCUGACAGUUUUAAAGCAGCUACAAUAAAAAGGCUUCAAUGAGAAAUUAACAGUACUCUUGAAAUAAACGAAAAAAAAAAUAGUGUCAACAAAAAAAAGAAAGGGGAACCAAAUGAAAAUUUCAGAACUAAAAAACAAAAAACAAAAUGAAUAGGAUCAAAAGCAGAAUGGAGAAGACAGAGGGAAUCAGUGAAUUUAGAGACAGAACAAUAGACAGAACAAUUAUCCAAUGUGAGAAACAAAUGAACCAACUAGGAAAAAACAUGAGCAGAAUAUCAGUGACCUGCAUCACUACAACGAAAGAUCUAAAGGGCAAGGCUGAAAAAAUACUUACAAAAAUAAUGGCAGACAACUUAAAGUAUUUAUAGAAAUGACAAAAGAUAUAAACCUAAAGCUUCAAGAAAUUGAAUCUAAACAGGAUGAAACCAAAGAAAUCCAUACCAAGAACCAUCUUACUCAAAGUUCUGAAAACUAAAGACAAAGAAGAAAUUUUUAAAGCAGCUAGAGAGAAAAGACCGCUCAUCUAUUAGGGAAAAAAAAACUGAAUGACAGAGGAUUUCUCGAAUGAAAUGGAGGUGGCUUGAAAAUAUUGCACAUUUUUGCAGUGCUAAAAGAAAAGAACUACGAAAUCUUAACCUUAUAUUCAGCAAAAAUAUCCUUCAAGAUCAGGGAAAUCAAGAAAUCUCAAAUGAAGGAAAACUAAAAGAAUUAACUGCAAGCAAAACGUACACAAAAAGAAUGGCUCAAGGAAGUUUUCUAAACAGAAAGCAAUGAAAAGGGGAACUCUGCACUGAACAGAAAGAAAAACAGUGAAUAAAGACUUAUUUUCUCAGAGAAAUGCAAAUCAAAACUACAAAGAGGUACCACCUCACACCUGUCAGAAUGGCCAUUAUUAGCGAGUCUACAAAUAGCAAAUGUUGGAGAGCUUGCAAAGAAAAGGGAACCCUCCUACACUGUUGGUAGCAAUGUAAACUGGUACAACCACUAUGGAAAACAGUAUGGAGGUUCUUCAGGAAACUAAAUACAGAACUACCAUGUGAUCCAGCAAUCCCACUCCUGGGCAUGUAUCCGAACAAAACUUUCAUUCAAAAAGAUACAUGCACACCUGUUUCACUGCAGCACUAUUCACAAUAGCCAAGACAUGGAAACAACCUAAAUGUCCAUCAACAGCUGAACAGAUUAAGAUGUGGCAUAUACACACGCACACACAUACACACACAAUGAAAUACUAUGCAAUCAUAAAAAAGAAUGAAAUAAUGCCAUUUGCAGCAGCAUGUAUGCAAUUAGAGAUUCUCAUACUAAGUGAAGUAAGUCAGAAAGAGAAGGACAAAUACAAUAUGGUAUCACUUACAUGUGGAAUCUAAAAUAGGGCACAAAUGCACCUAUCUACGAAACAGCAACAGACUCACAGACAUAGAGAAGAGACUUGCGGUUGCCAAGGGCAGGGGGAGUGGGACGGAUUGGGAGUUUGUGGUUAAUAAAUGCAAACUAUUACAUUUAGAAUGGAUGGACAGUAAGGUUCUACUGUGUAGCACAGUAUACCCACUCUUCUAGGAUAGACCAUGAUGAAAAUAACAUUUAAAAAAAUAAGAAUGUAUAUAUAUAUAUGUAUGACUGAGUCACUUUCCCAUACAACAGAAACAGGCACAUUGUAAAUCAACUAUCCCUUAAUUUAAAAAUGCUUCUACAGAGAAAAUUUCUAUGAAAAUUAUAAAUGGGAGGGUAGAGAGUCAUAAAAGAGGACUUGAAUAAUGACAACACCAACAGAAUGUAAUAAAUUACCUAAUUUAAUACCUAAAUAAAUCACCAAAAGAACUUCACAAAGAACACUCAAAAGCACAAAUAAACCAAAAUGGAAUCCAAAAGAAAUAAUUAAGUCAUUCACAGAAAAAUAUGAAAAAUGAGCCACGUCUGCGACCUACACCACAGCUUGCCGCAACGCUGGAUCCUUAACCCACUGAUUGAGGCAGGGAUCAAACCUGAACCCUCAUGGAUGCUAGUUGGAUUCAUUUCUGCUGAGCCACCAUGGCAACUCCCUUGAUUCUUGUUUUAUUCAGCUAACACCAUUCCGAUGAAAUUACUCUUGCUAAAAUUAAUUGUGAAAUAAAAUUCAAACUUGCUAGAUUUUGAUUUGCUUAGCCUCUAAGUAUUUGACAUUGAUGCCUAGUUUACUCCACUCUCCUACCUCUGUUUCCACGACAACAUACUCCACUGGUUCUCCUUCUGUCUCUUCAGCUCUGUUGGGGGAUGGGGGCUGGUGAAGGAAAAAUGCUCUUCAUGUCUUACUCCUUAAGUACUUUGGUUAGGAGCCAUUCUAUCCACAUGUUGAAGUCCAAACAUUCUUUAUUAAUAUUUAGCUACAUAAACUGUUUCUAGAGCAAUGUCAAUGUCCCACACUGGACCACCUCCUAUUCCCACCUACCAAAAAGAAAUGUUUUCCUAUAUUCCUGUUAAUUGUUCCAUCAUUCACAUAAUAUCCUAGCCAGAAACCUGGGAGUUAUUCCAGACUCUUUGGGAGUUCCUGUCAUGGCUCAGUGGUAACGAACCCACUUAGUACUCGUGAGGACACCAGUUCGAUCCCCGGCCUUGCUCAGUGAGGUAAGGAUCUGGUGUUACUAUGGCCAUGGUAUAGGCUGGAGGCUUACAGCUCCAAUUCAACCCCUAGCCUGGGAACUUCCAUACGCUGCAGUUUCAGCCCUUAAAAAAAGACAAAAAGUUUCUAAGUCUUUUCAAUUCUUCUGAUUAUCUCCUGAUUUUGUCCCUCUUAUCCAUGUCUUCUGUUGCUUUAUUAACUUAGUCAAACUUUUUUUUUCCCCUCCUGAACCUGCAGCAUGUGAAAGUUCCCUGGCCAGGGACAGAACCUGCACCACAGCAGUGACCUGAGCAGCAGCAAUGGCAAUGCCAGAUCCUUAACCCACUGAGCCACAAAAAACUCCUACUUUAUCUCUUAUUUAGCCUAUUUUAUGGCAUGGCUCCCUUCUAUUCUUCAUAUUGUUUACAGGGAAAUUUCACUAAAAUACAAAUUUGAUAAUAUUACUAUGGUGCUUAAAUUUCUUCCAUGCCUCCACAUUGCUUUCAAGAAAAAGUCUAAUAAAUUUCUUAGCCUAACAUGUAUGACCUUUAAACCAACCUCAACCCUACUUUCCAUAUUCAUCCCCUACAGCUUACCUUUAUUCGGCCAUUCUCCGGCCUCAUGGGUCCAUUUGGAGUUUCCUACACAUGCCAUGUGGCCUCUUCAUUAAACACAUUCACUUAUCCUGGAUACAGCCUUCCCAUUUGUGUGGCUCCUACUGCCUCUGACCACUUAGCUUUAGCUGACCACAUACUAAGACACAAAACAAGCCUCAACAAAUAUAAAAGAAGAGAAAUUAUUUCAAGCAUUUUUCUGACCAUGACUGCAUGAAGCUAGAAAUCAACCAGAAGAAAAGAGAUGAGGAAAAAAAAAAAUACAUGGAGACUACACAACAUGCUGCUCAAAAACCAAGGGGUCAACAAUGAAAUCUAAGAAGAAAUUAAAACAUACCUCAAGGCCAGUCUCCCAAGGCAAUAGAAAUAAAAAC
ensembl:lncRNA